rnacentral:rRNA from 1 species
AUUGAACGCUGGCGGCAGGCCUAACACAUGCAAGUCGAACGAGUGGCGGACGGGUGAGUAAUGUCUGGGAAACUGCCUGAUGGAGGGGGAUAACUACUGGAAACGGUAGCUAAUACCGCAUCCCAUCGGAUGUGCCCAGCGUGGAGUAGCUAGUAGGUGGGGUAAAGGCUCACCUAGGCGACAAUCCCUAGCUGUCCUAAAAGGAGGACCAUCAACACGGGAACUGGGACACGGUCCAGACUCCUACGGGAGGUAGCAGUGGUGAAUAUUGCACAAUGGGCGCAAGCCUUAUGCAGCCAUGCCGCGUGUAUGAAGAAGGCCUUCGGGUUGUAAAGUACUUUCAGCGGGGAGGCGUUACCCGCAGAAGAAGCACCGGCUAACUCCGUGCCAGCAGCCGCGGUAAUAC